GCCGGGUAUGGGGGCGUGUGCCUGUAAUCCCAGCUACCUGGGAGGCUGAGGCAGGAGAAUUGCUUGAACCCAGGAGGCAGAGGUUGCAGUGAGCUGAGAUCACACAACUGCACUACAGCCUGGGCAACAGAGUGAGACUCUGUCUCAA
rnacentral:SRP_RNA from 1 species